GACGGAGGGUGCAAACGUUAAUCGGAAUUACUGGGCGUAAAGCGCACGUAGGCGGCUCGUUCAGUGGGGUGUGAAAGCCCUGGGCUCAACCUGGGAAUUGCAUUCCAAACUGACGGGCUAGAGUGUGGUAGAGGGGGGUAGAAUUCCCUGUGUAGCGGUGAAAUGCGUAGAUAUAGGGAGGAAUACCUGUGGCGAAGGCGGCCCCCUGGACCAACACUGACGCUGAGGUGCGAAAGCGUGGGGAGCAAACAGG
rnacentral:rRNA from 1 species